CCUACGGGAGGCAGCAGUGAGGAAUAUUGGUCAAUGGGCGGAAGCCUGAACCAGCCAAGUAGCGUGCAGGAUGACGGCCCUACGGGUUGUAAACUGCUUUUAUACGGGAAUUACGCGCCUUACGUGUAGGGCCUUGCAUGUCCCGUAUGAUUAAGGACUGGCUAAUUCCGUGGCAGCAGCCGGGGUAAUACGGAAGGUCCGGGCGUUAGCCGGAUUUAUUGGGGUUAAGGGGAACGUAGGCCGCAUGUCAAGCGUGCUGUGAAAUGUCCGGGCUCAACCCGGGCCUUGCAGCGCGAACUGGCGUGCUUGAGUCCGCGGAAGGCAGGCGGAAUUCGUCGUGUAGCGGUGAAAUGCUUAGAUAUGACGAAGAACCCCGAUUGCGAAGGCAGCUUGCUGCAGCGGAACUGACGCUGAUGCUCGAAAGCGCGGGUAUCGAACAGGAUUAGAUACCCUUGUAGUC
rnacentral:rRNA from 1 species